UACGAAGGGGGCUAGCGUUGUUCGGAAUUACUGGGCGUAAAGCGUAUGCAGGCGGACUUCUAAGUCGGGGGUGAAAUCCCGAGGCUCAACCUCGGAACUGCCUUCGAUACUGGAAGUCUUGAGUCCGGGAGAGGUGAGUGGAACUCCGAGUGUAGAGGUGAAAUUCGUAGAUAUUCGGAAGAACACCAGUGGCGAAGGCGGCUCACUGGCCCGGUACUGACGCUGAGAUACGAAAGCGUGGGGAGCAAAC
rnacentral:rRNA from 1 species